GACCACACGUGUGGUCUAGAGCUAGCCUAGGCUCGAGAAGCUUGUCGACGAAUUCAGAUUGCAGCAGUGGGGAAUAUUGCACAAUAGGGGAAACCCUGAUGCAGCCAUGCCGCGUGUGUGAAGAAGGCCUUCGGGUUGUAAAGCACUUUCAGCGGGGAGGAAGGCAAUGGCGUUAAUAGUGUCAUUGAUUGACGUUACCCGCAGAAGAAGCACCGGCUAACUCCGUGCCAGCAGCCGCGGUAAUACGGAGGGUGCGAGCGUUAAUCGGAAUUACUGGGCGUAAAGCGUACGCAGGCGGUCUGUUAAGUCAGAUGUGAAAUCCCCGGGCUUAACCUGGGAACUGCAUUUGAAACUGGCAGGCUAGAGUCUCGUAGAGGGGGGUAGAAUUCCAGGUGUAGCGGUGAAAUGCGUAGAGAUCUGGAGGAAUACCGGUGGCGAAGGCGGCCCCCUGGACGAAGACUGACGCUCAGGUACGAAAGCGUGGGGAGCAAACAGGAUUAGAUACCCUGGUAGUCCACGCUGUAAACGAUGUCGAUUUGAAGGUUGUGGUCUUGAGCCGUGGCUUUCGGAGCUAACGCGUUAAAUCGACCGCCUGGGGAGUACGGCCGCAAGGUUAAAACUCAAAUGAAUUGACGGGGGCCCGCACAAGCGGUGGAGCAUGUGGUUUAAUUCGAUGCAACGCGAAGAACCUUACCUACUCUUGACAUCCAGAGAACUGAGCAGAGAUGCUUAGGUGCCUUCGGGAACUGUGAGACAGGUGCUGCAUGGCUGUCGUCAGCUCGUGUUGUGAAAUGUUGGGUUAAGUCCCGCAACGAGCGCAACCCUUAUCCUUUGUUGCCAGCGAUUCGGUCGGGAACUCAAAGGAGACUGCCGGUGAUAAACCGGAGGAGGGUGGGGAUGACGUCAAGUCAUCAUGGCCCUUACGAGUAGGGCUACACACGUGCUACAAUGGCGCAUACAAAGAGAAGCGAUCUCGCGAGAGUCAGCGGACCUCAUAAAGUGCGU
rnacentral:rRNA from 1 species